rnacentral:rRNA from 1 species
AACGAACGCCGGCGGCAGGCUUAACACAUGCAAGUCGAGCGCCCCGCAAGGGGAGCGGCAGACGGGUGAGUAACGCGUGGGAAUCUACCCAUCUCUACGGAAUAACGCAUGGAAACGUGUGCUAAUGCCGUAUACGUCCUACGGGAGAAAGAUUUAUCGGAGAUGGAUGAGCCCGCGUUGGAUUAGCUAGUUGGUGGGGUAAAGGCCUACCAAGGCGACGAUCCAUAGCUGGUCUGAGAGGAUGAUCAGCCACACUGGGACUGAGACACGGCCCAGACUCCUACGGGAGGCAGCAGUGGGGAAUAUUGGACAAUGGGCGCAAGCCUGAUCCAGCCAUGCCGCGUGAGUGAUGAAGGCCCUAGGGUUGUAAAGCUCUUUCACCGGUGAAGAUAAUGACGGUAACCGGAGAAGAAGCCCCGGCUAACUUCGUGCCAGCAGCCGCGGUAACAC